GCAGCUUACACAUGCAGUCGAGGGGUAGAGUUAGCUUGCUAACUUGAGACCGGCGCACGGGUGCGUAACGCGUAUGCAAUCUACCUUUUGCAGAGGGAUAGCCCAGAGAAAUUUGGAUUAAUACCUCAUGGUAUAUAUGAAUGGCAUCAUUUAUAUAUUAAAGUCACAACGGCAAAAGAUGAGCAUGCGUCCCAUUAGCUAGAUGGUAAGGUAACGGCUUACCAUGGCUACGAUGGGUAGGGGUCCUGAGAGGGAGAUCCCCCACACUGGUACUGAGACACGGACCAGACUCCUACGGGAGGCAGCAGUGAGGAAUAUUGGACAAUGGGCGCAAGCCUGAUCCAGCCAUGCCGCGUGCAGGAUGACGGUCCUAUGGAUUGUAAACUGCUUUUGUACGGGAAGAAACCCUCCUACGUGUAGGAGCUUGACGGUACCGUAAGAAUAAGGAUCGGCUAACUCCGUGCCAGCAGCCGCGGUAAUACGGAGGAUCCAAGCGUUAUCCGGAAUCAUUGGGUUUAAAGGGUCCGUAGGCGGUUUAGUAAGUCAGUGGUGAAAGCCCAUCGCUCAACGGUGGAACGGCCAUUGAUACUGCUAGACUUGAAUUAUUAGGAAGUAACUAGAAUAUGUAGUGUAGCGGUGAAAUGCUUAGAGAUUACAUGGAAUACCAAUUGCGAAGGCAGGUUACUACUAAUGGAUUGACGCUGAUGGACGAAAGCGUGGGUAGCGAACAGGAUA
rnacentral:rRNA from 1 species